AACCUUGCGCAGUGGUAAUAAUCGUAAGCAAUGAAGGCCUCCUGAGGUACGAUUAUUGCUAGUUGAAAACUAGGCGCCAC
rnacentral:snRNA from 1 species